AUUGAACGCUGGCGGCAGGCCUAACACAUGCAAGUCGAACGGUAACAGGAAGCAGCUUGCUGCUUUGCUGACGAGUGGCGGACGGGUGAGUAAUGUCUGGGAAACUGCCCGAUGGAGGGGGAUAACUACUGGAAACGGUAGCUAAUACCGCAUAACGUCGCAAGACCAAAGAGGGGGACCUUAGGGCCUCUUGCCAUCGGAUGUGCCCAGAUGGGAUUAGCUAGUAGGUGGGGUAACGGCUCACCUAGGCGACGAUCCCUAGCUGGUCUGAGAGGAUGACCAGCCACACUGGAACUGAGACACGGUCCAGACUCCUACGGGAGGCAGCAGUGGGGAAUAUUGCACAAUGGGCGCAAGCCUGAUGCAGCCAUGCCGCGUGUAUGAAGAAGGCCUUCGGGUUGUAAAGUACUUUCAGCGGGGAGGAAGCGAGUAAAGUUAAUACCUUUGCUCAUUGACGUUACCCGCAGAAGAAGCACCGGCUAACUCCGUG
rnacentral:rRNA from 1 species